rnacentral:rRNA from 1 species
GACGAACGCUGGCGGCGUGCCUAAUACAUGCAAGUAGAACGCUGAAGGAGGAGCUUGCUCUUCUGGAUGAGUUGCGAACGGGUGAGUAACGCGUAGGUAACCUGCCUGGUAGCGGGGGAUAACUAUUGGAAACGAUAGCUAAUACCGCAUAAUAGCAGUUGUUGCAUGACAACUGUUUGAAAGGUGCAAUUGCAUCACUACCAGAUGGACCUGCGUUGUAUUAGCUAGUUGGUGGGGUAACGGCUCACCAAGGCGACGACGGGUAGCCGGCCUGAGAGGGUGACCGGCCACACUGGGACUGAGACACGGCCCAGACUCCUACGGGAGGCAGCAGUGGGGAAUAUUGCACAAUGGGCGCAAGCCUGAUGCAGCGACGCCGCGUGAGGGAUGACGGCCUUCGGGUUGUCAACCUCUGUUAGCAGGGAAGAAGAGAGAUUGACGGUACCUGCAGAGAAAGCNGCGGCUAACUACGUGCCAGCAGCCGCGGUAAUACGUAGGGCGCGAGCGUUGUCCGGAAUUUAUGGGCGUAAAGAGCUUGUANGCGGUUUGUCGCGUCUGCUGUGAAGGCCGGGGCUUAACUCCGUGUAUUGCAGUGGGUACGGGCAGACUAGAGUGCAGUAGGGGAGACUGGAAUUCCUGGUGUAGCGGUGGAAUGCGCAGAUAUCAGGAGGAACACCGAUGGCGAAGGCAGGUCUCUGGGCUGUAACUGACGCUGAGAAGCGAAAGCAUGGGGAGCGAACAGGAUUAGAUACCCUGGUAGUCCAUGCCGUAAACGUUGGGCACUAGGUGUGGGGAACAUUCCACGUUUUCCGCGCCGUAGCUAACGCAUUAAGUGCCCCGCCUGGGGAGUACGGCCGCAAGGCUAAAACUCAAAGAAAUUGACGGGGGCCCGCACAAGCGGCGGAGCAUGCGGAUUAAUUCGAUGCAACGCGAAGAACCUUACCAAGGCUUGACAUAUACUGGACCGCAUCAGAGAUGGUGUUUCCCUUCGGGGCUGGUAUACAGGUGGUGCAUGGUUGUCGUCAGCUCGUGUCGUGAGAUGUUGGGUUAAGUCCCGCAACGAGCGCAACCCUCGUUCUAUGUUGCCAGCACGUAAUGGUGGGGACUCAUAGGAGACUGCCGGGGUCAACUCGGAGGAAGGUGGGGAUGACGUCAAAUCAUCAUGCCCCUUAUGACCUGGGCUACACACGUGCUACAAUGGCUGGUACAACGAGUCGCAAGUCGGUGACGACAAGCUAAUCUCUUAAAGCCAGUCUCAGUUCGGAUUGUAGGCUGCAACUCGCCUACAUGAAGUCGGAAUCGCUAGUAAUCGCGGAUCAGCACGCCGCGGUGAAUACGUUCCCGGGCCU